rnacentral:rRNA from 1 species
UUUAUGGAGAGUUUGAUCCUGGCUCAGGAUGAACGCUGGCGGCGUGCCUAAUACAUGCAAGUCGAGCGAACGGACGAGAAGCUUGCUUCUCUGAUGUUAGCGGCGGACGGGUGAGUAACACGUGGAUAACCUACCUAUAAGACCGGGAUAACUUCGGGAAACCGGAGCUAAUACCGGAU